GUCUCUGUGGUGCAAUCGGUUAGCGCGUUCAGCUGUUAACCAAAAGGUUGGUGGUUCAAGCCCGUCCAGAGACG
rfam:Pterocles gutturalis contig48339, whole genome shotgun sequence.